rnacentral:rRNA from 1 species
AUUGAACGCUGGCGGCAGGCCUAACACAUGCAAGUCGAGCGGAGCGGCGGACGGGUGAGUGAUGCCUAGGAAUCUGCCUGGUAGUGGGGGAUAACGUCCGGAAACGGGCGCUAAUACCGCAUACUCUCAGUUGCGCCUAGGUGGGAUGAGCUAGUUGGUGGGGUAAAGGCCCACCAAGGCGACGAUCCGUACCUGGUCUGAGAGGGUGAUCAGUCACACUGGAACUGAGACACGGUCCAGACUCCUACGGGAGGCAGCAGUGGGGAAUAGUGGACAAUGGGCGAAAGCCUGAUACAGCCAUGCCGCGUGUGUGAAGAAGGUCUUCGGAUUGUAAAGUACUUUAAGUUGGGAGGCGUUACCCACAGAAUAAGCACCGGCUAACUUCGUGCCAGCCGCCGCGGUAAUAC